GACGAACGCUGGCGGCGUGCCUAAUACAUGCAAGUAGAACGCUGAAGGAGGAGCUUGCUUCUCUGGAUGAGUUGCGAACGGGUGAGUAACGCGUAGGUAACCUGCCUGGUAGCGGGGGAUAACUAUUGGAAACGAUAGCUAAUACCGCAUAAGAGUAGAUGUUGCAUGACAUUUGCUUAAAAGGUGCAAUUGAAUCACUACCAGAUGGACCUGCGUUGUAUUAGCUAGUUGGUGGGGUAACGGCUCACCAAGGCGACGAUACAUAGCCGACCUGAGAGGGUGAUCGGCCACACUGGGACUGGGACACGGCCCAGACUCCUACGGGAGGCAGCAGUAGGGAAUCUUCGGCAAUGGACGGAAGUCUGACCGAGCAACGCCGCGUGAGUGAAGAAGGUUUUCGGAUCGUAAAGCUCUGUUGUAAGAGAAGAACGAGUGUGAGAGUGGAAAGUUCACACUGUGACGGUAUCUUACCAGAAAGGGACGGCUAACUACGUG
rnacentral:rRNA from 1 species